UAGGUGUUGUGGUCUCCCUCU
rnacentral:siRNA from 1 species